UCAUCUGCAAAUUAAGGGGUGUUUCUCUUCGAUUUUUGUAGAUAAUAUUUCUCAAUUUUGGGUGAUUUUUUGGGUCGAUAUUUUGGGUUGAUUUUUUGGGUUUGGAAGAAAAUAAGAGGAAGAGUUCAUUGUGAGCAGCCAUGGUAGUCUCCCCCAAUCACAUUGCAGGCUCCACCACCGUCGUCGCCCGUGUAGGUUGGAGAUGGGAACAGGAGAGAGAAAUUGGGCGAGAGUGAGAAAGAAAAAGGGGCGGGUUUUGCGAAUUGGAGGAGAGACGGUUAAUUAGGGAUAGGAUGGUGAUGGUCAUUGCUUCCAUGGUGGUUUGAGAUGAGAAAGAAGAUGAUGAUGAUGAAGAUGUCGUAUCAAAAUUACAAAGGUGAAGAUGAAGACAAAUGAAGAAGCAAGCAAGCAGAAUAGCAGAUUCACAUUUUGGGGUCAAUUUUUUUUGUUUUUUUAAUAGCUAAUUAGAUUAUUUUAGGGGCUUAAUUUUUUUAGAUAAUA